rnacentral:ncRNA from 1 species
UUUGCGGGGAUUUUUUGGUUUCCGGGGGGGGUUUUUACCGGGGGGUCUUUUUUGGGGGAUUCCUUGCCCCGGGCAGAGGGGAGAUUUUGGGGAACAGCAGGUUGUGGAGGUUCCUCAAGUUUUUGGGGGACCGGCCCCUUACAAUGUCAGGGGGACAAGGAAUUUCCGGGGGGUUUUGCGUUUCCUGUUGGAUCAAAAGGGGGGGGGAAACCCCGGAUUCACGUGGACCCCACUUGGGAACGAGUAUUGCAAUUAUGGUCGCGCAACGAGGAAUUUCUCGUAGGCGCAGCUCAUCAAACGGUGCCGAUUACGUCCCUGCCAUUUGUACACACCGCCCGUCGUUGUUUCCGAUGAUGGUGCAAUACAGGUGAUCGGACCGUCGCGUGUCUCACGUGACCGAAAGUUCACCGAUAUUGCUUCAAUAGAGGAAGCAAAAGUCGUAACAAGGUAGCUGUAGGUGAACCUGCAGCUGGAUCAUUU